GACGCAGUGGCGAAGUGGUAUCGCGCCCGCUUAUCUGUCGUACGUUUCGACAAAACUUUCCGCGGAAGGCGCCUGUUCGAUCCAGGCCUGGGCCA